GUUAUAGAUACACAGUAUGACGUCAUAUGUGAUAAGAACAAAAAAGUACACGAGCCGCCUAGGUGAGUGAUCACUUUUUGUUCUUACCACAUAUGACGUCAUACUGUGUAUCUAUAAC